rnacentral:rRNA from 1 species
UACGGAGGGUGCAAGCGUUGUCCGGAAUCACUGGGCGUAAAGCGUGCGUAGGCGGCUUUACAAGUCAGAGGUGAAAUGCCAAGGCUUAACCUUGGAACUGCCUUUGAAACUGUAAAGCUGGAGUGUCGGAGGGGAUAGCGGAAUUUCUAAUGUAGCGGUGAAAUGCGUAGAUAUUAGAAGGAACACCGGUGGCGAAGGCGGCUAUCUGGACGACAACUGACGCUGAGGCACGAAAGCGUGGGGAUCAAACAGG